AUCUUGGAUCAAUUUAUAUAAAAUUUUUAUGAGAAUGCAUUGAAAACUAUUGGUGUGCCACAAGGAUCUUGGUCAAUCUCCCAUAAUUCCCUUCUCCUUACAUUAUAUUAAUGAACACUUUUGUCUUCUCCUAGAUUCAGAUAGUACAAAAUCUUAUCCAGUGAUAUAAGUGGUAGUCUAGUGGUAAAUGCCUAAUAUACUAUAAAUUAUGUAAAACCUAGAUGUAGUUAGGACCUCUAGCCUAGAUGUCCUUUUAAUACAAUCCUCGUGAGGUUGAGGAAUUUUUUUAAACGUACCACACCCGUUAGGAUAUACCACGCGAUAGGGCGCUACUCCGCCUCGGUUUCAAGUGAUAUACCUCCUGUUGUUAAUUUUGUUUGCAAGUUUUUUUUUUUAUUUGCGGGAAAUAAACUGGAUCUCAUAGUCUAGGACCGAGACGCUUAACACAUUAAUAUAUCAUAUAUUUAGAAGGAAAUCGUUAUAAAUAUUAUUCUGGAACUGUUUUAAUUUUAAUUAAAUAUAUAAUUUUGACUAUUAUAUUGAAAAUAGUAAUAUUAAUAACUGAAUUCUUAAAAAACGCUAAACAAGAAAUUGACAUUGUCACAAAAAAUAAAUUAAUGGGAUGUUGAAUAAGUUUUCGCUGAUUUUUCGUGAAAAUCUUUCCUUUAUU